CCCUUAGAUGUCCUGGGCCGCACGCGUGCUACACUGACGCAUACAGCGAGCACUUUCCAGUUCCGAGAGGCUACUGGUAAUCAUCAAUAUGCGUCGUGAUGGGGAUGGAUCUUUGGAAUUCUGGAUCUUGAACGAGGAAUGCCUAGUAAUCGCAGGUCAUUAGCCUGCGAUGAUUAAGUCCCUGCCCUUUGUACACACCGCCCGUCGCUACUACCGAUUUCGAGUGGUCAGGUGAAUCUUUCGGACUGUGGGCGCCCUUGAGGUGUUCGCGGAAAGUCAGGUAAAUCUUAUCACUUAGAGGAAGUAAAAGUCGUAACA
rnacentral:rRNA from 1 species